UAUCUUUUUCAUAUUUGUUCAAGUUUGAUUCUACACUCCCACCAUAUCAAUUAACCAUUAUCAUACUAAACUUGUUUCUUCUAAUAAUGGCUGCAACGACACGUUCCCUUGCAUCCAUCUAUGAUGUGUUCCUCAACUUCAGAGGGGAAGACACGCGCUAUGGUUUUACUGGCAAUCUCUACAAGGCUCUUUGUGACAAGGGAUUUCAUACCUUCUUUGACGAAGACAAGCUUCACAGCGGAGAGGAAAUAACACCUGCACUUUUGAAGGCAAUUCAAGAUUCCAGGAUUGCUAUUAUUGUGCUUUCUGAAAACUAUGCUUUUUCCUCAUUUUGUUUAGAUGAACUUGUAGCCAUCCUACACUGCAAGAGGGAAGGGCUGUUGGUUAUACCGGUCUUUUACAAAGUAGAUCCUUCUGAUGUUAGACACCAGAAAGGUAGUUAUGGAGAAGCAAUGACUAAGCAUCACGAAAGGUUCAAAGAUAAGAUGGAGAAGCUGCAGAAAUGGAGGAUGGCAUUGCAUCAAGUAGGUCACUUGUCUGGCAAACAUUUCAAAGAUGGAGAUGCAUAUGAAUACAAGUUUAUUGGGAGUAUUGUUGAGGAGCUCUCUAGGAAGAUUAAUCGUGCUUCUUUACAUGUUGCGGAUUAUCCUGUUGGUUUAGAGUCACAAGUGACAGAGGUAAUGAAGCUUUUGGAUGUUGGAUCCCAUGAUGGUGUCCACAUCAUAGGGAUCCAUGGAAUGGGCGGGUUAGGAAAAACAACACUUGCUCUGGCAGUAUAUAAUUUCAUUGCUCUCCAUUUUGAUGAAUCCUGUUUUCUUCAAAACGUGAGAGAAGAAUCAAAUAAACAUGGGUUAAAACACCUUCAAAGCAUCCUUCUUUCAAAAUUACUUGGUGAGAAGGACAUCAUCUUAACAAGUUGGCAAGAAGGAGCUUCAAUGAUACAACGUAGGCUCCGACGAAAGAAGGUUCUCUUGAUUUUAGACAACGCUGACGAGCAAGAGCAAUUAAUGGCUAUUGUUGGAAGCCCUAAUUGCUUUGGUCCCGGUAGCAGAGUCAUCAUUACCACUCGGGACAAACAUCUGCUAAAAUAUCAUGGCGUUGAAAGAACUUAUGAGGUGAAGGUUUUGAAUCACAAUGCUGCUCUUCAACUGCUUACUAGGAAUGCUUUUAAAAGAGAAAAAAUUGAUCCAAGUUAUGAGAACGUCUUGAAUCGUGUAGUAGCUUAUGCUUCUGGCCUUCCAUUGGCUUUGGAAGUCAUAGGCUCGGACUUGUUUGGAAAAACUGUAGCAGAAUGGGAAUCUGCUGUGGAACAUUAUAAAAGAAUUCCCAGGGAUAAAAUCCAAGAGAUACUAAAAGUAAGCUUUGAUGCUUUGGGGGAAGAACAAAAGAAUGUGUUUCUUGACAUCGCUUGUUGCUUCAAAGGGUAUAAAUGGACAGAGGUUGAUGAUCUACUCCAUGUUCUUUAUGGUAACUGCAAGAAGCAUCAUAUUGGGGUGUUGGUUGAAAAAUCUCUCAUAAAGUACUAUGAUGAUACUGUUGAAAUGCACGACCUGAUUCAGGACAUGGGUAGAGAAAUUGAGCGGCAGAGAUCACCAGAUGAGCCAGGGAAGCGCAAGAGAUUAUGGUCACCACAAGAUAUAAUUCAAGUUUUAAAACACAACACGGGAACUUGUAAAAUUGAAAUCAUAUGUUUGGAUCCCUCCAUAUCUGACAAAGAAGAAACAGUGGAAUGGAAUGAAAACGCCUUCAUGAAGAUGGAAAACCUUAAAAUACUUAUUAUUAGAAAUGGCAAUUUUUCGAUAGGUCCCAAUAAUUUUCCAGAAGGUUUGAGAGUACUGGAAUGGCAAAGAUAUCCUUCAAAUUGUUUACCGUCUAACUUUGAUCCGAUCAACCUUGUUAUAUGCAAGUUACCUGAUAGUUCCAUUACGUCAUUUGAGUUCCAUGGCUCAUCCAAGAAGUUGGGGCAUCUAACAGUUCUGAAUUUUGACAAGUGCAAAUUUUUAACACAGAUACCUGAUGUAUCUGAUCUUCCAAAUUUGAGGGAACUUUCAUUUCGAUGGUGUGAGAGUUUAGUUGCAGUUGAUGACUCAAUUGGUUUUCUGAAUAAACUUAAAGAAUUGAGUGCUGAUGGUUGCAGGAAGCUUACGAGUUUUCCGCCUCUCAACUUGACCUCUCUUGAAACACUUGAAAUUUCUGAGUGUUCCAGUCUUGAGUAUUUUCCAGAAAUAUUAGGAGAGAUGGAAAACAUACAGAAACUUCGUUUGACUGACCUUCCCAUAAAAAAAUUGCCAUUUUCAAUUCAAAAUCUUACUGGACUCCAAUGGUUAACCCUGGGGAGCUGUGGAAUUGUUCAGUUACCAUGUAGCUUAUCCAUGAUGCCCAAACUGUUGGAAUUCAAUAUUAGAGAUUGCAACAGGUGGCAAUGGGUAGAAUCGGAAGAAGGUGAAGAAAAAGUGGGCCCAACACAGUCUUCAACGGAACAUUGCUUUGGUGCCACGAAGUGCAAUUUAUGUGAUGAUUUUUUUUUAACAGGUUCCAAGAGGUUUGCUCUUGUAACAUUUUUAGAUCUAUCGGAGAAUAAUUUCACCAUCCUUUCCGAAUUCUUCAAAGAAUUGGAAUUUUUACAAACUCUUUUCGUGAGUGAUUGCGAGCAUCUUCAGGAAAUUAGAGGGCUUCCACCAAACUUAGAGUAUUUUGAUGCAAGAAACUGUGCAUCCUUGACUUCCUCGACUAAAAGCAUGCUUUUAAAUCAGGAACUGCAUGAGGCUAGACCAACCCAGUUUGUGUUUCCAGGAACAAGAAUACCAGAGUGGUUCGAUCAGCAAAAGAGUGGACAUUCAAUUUCUUUCUGGUUUCGUAAUAAACUCCCAGCCAAACUUCUUUGUCUUCUUAUUGCACUGUCUACUGAGAAUUUUAUCCUAUCUCCAGACGUGUUCAUCAAUGGAAAAUUUGAAGAAUUGGAGCCCUAUAAGACGGACGAAAUAGAAAGUAUGUCGAAAUUGGAUCAUACUUAUAUCUUUUAUCUCCAAAAGUUACCUUUCAAAAAUGGUAAUCUGUUUGAAGAAGUGGCUAGGGAAAAGGAAUGGAACCAUGUGGAGGUUAGAUAUGAAAGUGUGUUAGAGUUAGAGAGCUCACUCAUCAAAGGAAGUGGAAUCCAUAUAUUCAGAGAAGAAGGCAGUAUGGAGGAAGAUAUUCGAUUUGAUGAUCCAUAUCUCAGCAGCUCUGCAUCAGAAAGCCCCUCCUUCCUACAAACCAUAGCUUUGGGGACACGCAAGUUUUCCAUUGCUUUUUUCUUAUUUUUUUCAUGUUUUUUUAUUUUAUUAUUUUGGUUUCAGUCUUCAAAAAACGACUUAAUCCAACUGGUGUUCGCCCUAUCUUCAUAAUGUACUUUUGACUCAUUUAUAUUCAUCUUUCAUGACUUUAUGCA